UGGAUUGAACUUCCUUGCAGAUACCCGGGGGGUCCUCUGCUAAAUCCUCUGGGUCUGGCUAAAGAUAUCAAGAACGCACAUGAGUGGAAGCUGAAGGAGAUAAAGAAUGGACGGCUUGCAAUGGUAGCCAUGCUGGGGAUCUUUGUGCAAGCUUAUGUAACUCAAACAGGGCCAAUAGACAACCUUGUGGAGCACCUUUCUAAUCCAUGGCACAACACUAUUAUCCACACCCUCUCCAGCUAGCUCAAGUCCUUGAAGAACCAAAAUAUAAGCUAUCUGGCUUUGGAGAGAAUUUGUAAGCUACAAAUGGUACAUAUGAAAGAACAAAUGAAUACUUCGUUUCACACUGUUGCCAAAUUCAAACAAGAUAGCAAAUGAAAGAAUUGAGGAAGGUUUCAUUGCUUGAAUAGAUAAAUCCACUUAUUCUCUUUCGAU